UAUUAUUGUCGGCAAACCUUCCGAAAGGGAGGGACGCAAAGCUAUGGGCCUACGGUUUUCUUACUAUGGCUGCCAAGUUGCAUGU
rfam:Aneurinibacillus migulanus strain DSM 2895 super7, whole genome shotgun sequence.